UCUCCGUUGGUGAACCAGCGGAGGGAUCAUUACAGAGUUUUCACAACUCCCAACCCUUGCGAACCGUACCCAUUCUGUUCUCGUUGCUUCCGGCGGGCGGGACGGGGGGGCCCGAUACGGCCUCCCCGCCCCGCCCGCCGGGGGUGGCGGGCCCUACGAACCUCUAUACCUCAACCACCAGAAACCGUCUGAGAAAACAAACAAAAUACUCAAAACUUUCAGCAACGGAUCUCUUGGCUCUG
rnacentral:misc_RNA from 1 species